ACGCUCGACACCUACGGGAGGCCGCAGUGAGGAAUAUUGGUCAAUGGACGCAAGUCUGAACCAGCCAUGCCGCGUGCAGGAUGACGGCUCUAUGAGUUGUAAACUGCUUUUGUACGAGGGUAAACGCAGAUACGUGUAUCUGUCUGAAAGUAUCGUACGAAUAAGGAUCGGCUAACUCCGUGCCUGCAGCCGCGGUAAUCUGAGCGGGCUGGCAAGGC
rnacentral:rRNA from 1 species